UGUAAGUGCGCUAAUAUCGCAUAAAUUCGACGAAGCCUCCAAAGGAAGUCACGGCUAACUCUGUGCCAGCAGCCGCGGUAAUACAGAGGUGGCAAGCGGUGUUCGGAAUCAUUGGGCGUAAGGAGCACGUAGGUGGGUUUGCAAGUCAGAUGUGAAAGCCUUCUGUUCAACGGAAGAAUCGCAUCUGAAACUGCGAGUCUUGAGUGUAGGAGGGGAGAGUGGAAC
rnacentral:rRNA from 1 species